rnacentral:lncRNA from 1 species
CAAAAAAUCAAUUCUCAAAAUCCCUACCAAACGGGCCCUAAGAAAAAAAUUGAGCUUACUCGGCUCGGCUCAAUAAGGUUCAAGCCGAAAGCUCGGAUUGAGCAUUGAUUUCUUAGCUGAGCAAAAUUUCUGCUCGACUUGGACUCGAAAAAAAGUUUGGACCAUUUUACUCGAGUUAAGCUUGAGCCUUGAAUUUCAACUCGUGAGCUAGUUCGACUUGACUCGUCGACACUGAAGGGUCUAGAAGGGCUGAAUUUUUGUACUAUUUAGAGAAAGAAUAACAUGCGAUUUGAUAAUGCAAAAUCGUAAUUUUAUUUCACCUAAUAUUUUUAUCUGCAAUAUUUCCGGGAUCAUAUUUGGGUUCUUUUACAGUAGCCCAACAGAAUUUAGCUAGAGAAGAUAAACAAUUGCCUUUUUUUUUUUUUUUUAACCGUUUAUGUAAACACGUGGUUAAAUUAAUAUGGGAUUCGUGAGUGAGCAGAACGAUGAGUUCAUUGAUAAUUGGGUUCUGAAGUUUCUUAUUUAUUUCAUCAAGGGAUUGUUAAGAAUUAUUUUGGAUGUUCUGAAAGAUAUUUAAGGGACUUGUUAAAAUCCGGGGUACUUUCUUGGCCUAAACUAUUUUAAGGGUAAAAUUGACGAGUUGAGUAUGUUUUCACCAACUUAAGUUCUAAAUAUAACUUGACUUGGAGCAGGGAUUUGUUUUUGGAGUAAAUUUCUGUCCCUUUUUUGUGUUUCUUCUCCGAGUCAGUAUUUGUAGAACACUUUAAUUGUAGCUUCUGCAUUGCAUUCCACACUGCAACAUGCUGAACUUGUCUAAUUAUUGUAAGGAUUUUUUAAUCAAUCGUGGGCUUAUGUGUGAAUUGUUGUGCAUUAAAUUAAAGGUUAUCGUAUUCGAUUGAACCCAUUUAACGUGAUCUAAUAAGACUUCGAUUUUGGACCAUUAUGCAUCCAAUUAAAGUAUGAGUUCUAUACGUGUAGAGACCGGGCCCAGACUCCUAAU